rnacentral:rRNA from 1 species
GACGAGGGAUCCUAGCGUUGUUCGGAAUCACUGGGCGUAAAGCGGGUGUAGGUGGGCUUCUAAGUCAGAUGUGAAAUCCCAGGGCUCAACCCUGGAAGUGCAUUUGAUACUGGAAGUCUUGAGUGUGGUAGAGGUUACUGGAAUUGUUGGUGUAGUGGUGAAAUACGUAGAGAUGCGGAGGAACACCGAUGGCGAAGGCAGCCCCUCGGCGAC